GGCGCGGCGUUGGCCACGCUCGUGGAGUUCAUGGGCCAAGCCACAAGGCAGUGCGAGAAGUACUAUAGCUUGGUGCCAGCCUGUAGAUGCAAAGAGCAUGAAAUGAAGCACAUCUGCAGAUACCACGGCAGGCAAGCAGGUGAAAAAGUGAUGGAGGCUGCAGAAGAAAAGACCAGGAAGGCUUCCAAAGACAUCUACAUUGAAGUUUCUCCUGGCACCUAUUCUGUCACAGCAACCUCAGAGGACAUGGUGAAACAAACCCAUGUGGUGGAUGUCAGUGCAGGACAAAGCGUUGAUUUAACUUUUGUUCUAUGAUGUUUGUUGUUUCUUGGCAAUCAUGGGAAUAAAAUACUAGGCUUUUUAAUGCA
rnacentral:lncRNA from 1 species